rnacentral:rRNA from 1 species
GAUGAACGCUGGCGGCGUGCCUAAUACAUGCAAGUCGAGCGAACAGACGAGGAGCUUGCUCCUCUGACGUUAGCGGCGGACGGGUGAGUAACACGUGGAUAACCUACCUAUAAGACUGGGAUAACUUCGGGAAACCGGAGCUAAUACCGGAUAAUAUAUUGAACCGCAUGGUUCAAUAGUGAAAGACGGUUUUGCUGUCACUUAUAGAUGGAUCCGCGCCGCAUUAGCUAGUUGGUAAGGUAACGGCUUACCAAGGCAACGAUGCGUAGCCGACCUGAGAGGGUGAUCGGCCACACUGGAACUGAGAAACGGUCCAGACUCCUACGGGAGGCAGCAGUAGGGAAUCUUCAGGAAUGGGCGAAAGCCUGAAGGAGCAACGCCGCGUGAGUGAUGAAGGUCUUCGGAUCGUAAAACUCUGUUAUUAGGGAAGAACAAAUGUGUAAGUAACUAUGCACGUCUUGACGGUACCUAAUCAGAAAGCCACGGCUAACUACGUG